GUUCACAAUAUGUUUGUCCUCCUCUCCUUAAAGGUGGAAUGGUCUUGAUACUCUUGCCAACGUGACAUAAUUGCUUUUGGAUCUUCUAAAGCAUCAUGCUGCUGGGAUGAUAGAGAAGAAAUGCGUUACGGAAAGGGCUUCCUCAAUGGUGAUUUUAUGAAAAGAAGAGAUCACAAGUAGGCAGAGAGGCAAGCUGAGAGAGAGAGAAGAGGAAGCAAGUUCCCUGCCGAGCAGAGAGCCCGAUGCUGGACUCGAUCCCAGGACCCUGAGAUCAUGACAUGAGCGGAAGGCAGAGGCUUAACCCACUGAGCCACCCAGGCGCCCUGAAGAUAACUUCUUGAGAUGAUAUUUAUUCUCCAUUCCCUGAGUCCUUCCACAACACCAACACUUCAUCAAUGCUUCUGAGAGUAACCGCAGAAUUCUCUAAGCAUUGCUUUCAAGAGGAGACUGGUAUUGAUCUUGAGAAUAUCGACAGGAUUAAAAAUGUGGACAUAGUGGCCAGAC
rnacentral:lncRNA from 1 species